rnacentral:rRNA from 1 species
UACGUAGGGUCCGAGCGUUGUCCGGAGUUACUGGGAGUAAAGCGCGCGCAGGCGGCCCGCGAGGUGUCACGUGAAAGCCCCGGGCUCAACUCGGGAGGGUCGUGGCAAACCGGCGGGCUUGAGGCCGGUAGAGGUGGGUGGAACUCCUGGUGGAGUGGUGAAAUGCGUAGAGAUCAGGAAGAACACCCGUGGCGAAGGCGGCCCACUGGGCCGGUGCUGACGCUGAGGCGCGAAGGCGUGGGGAGCGAACGGG